CUAACUUUUAUUGCAUUUCUCCUAAAUCCAGGUGCUUUACAUAGAUUAUCUCAGAUAAGUUAAUCCUAGGCAACAACCCUAUGAGGAUUGUCAUUUAACAGACAAAGAAAGGGAGAUUUAGGGAGGUUGGGAAGGUUACCCAAGACCUCAGGACCAGAGCUGAAAAGCAGGCAGAUGUGGGGCCAAAGUCCAGAAUGUUUUCAUUGACAAAGCACCAGCUAAAACACAGAAUACCAAUGACUCUUAGACUCAUUCCCGGGCCUCCGGCUGACCACGGGAAAGGGGAUCUUCAGGAGCGGGUGUCUCAGGGCUGGGAAGAGGAUGGCACAGGAGGGCUGGGGAACCCAAAUUGCAGCCUGAAUGGCUAGUGUCCUUUCUCCAGAAUGCAGUUCUCCCUUGCUCAGAAGAAAUGAGUCUGCCAGUGGGUACAACAUGAGAUGAUACUUCCACCCCCAUUGGUGACAGCCCUCACCUAGCUAUCAAGGUAUGCAGGGCUGACUUUUCACCUUCAGCCUGCUCCAGGGAAGGGCCAGAUGGCAUUCAGGCUGAUUCUGUGCUUCUGGCUGACUAAUCUCUCCAGGUACAAGAGUAAACAUGGAACGUGGGGACACCAUAUGUCCCUGACUCAUAGAGCUUGCAGGAAUCACCGUCAUUCUACGUGGCAUCUGCUUUCCUCGGCCGAGGUGGGAGGUGGGUCAAUGUAGCGGAGGAAACGUGUCUUAAAGUACAAGGCAGAGUGAACUGAAACAUAAAGAGAAGUGUGCACCUGCAUCUCAACCUGCAGAUACAUCUCAAAGGCCCCUUCAGCCGAUGUCCUCAGUGCCCUUGACACAGCCCCUUGGCACUUGCCUUCCACACACAUGCUGCUGCACCAGUUUCCUCCUGGCAGCACCUUCCUUUCUGCCUGAGGAUUUCCCAGGCAUCCUGCCUCCAAGAAAGUCAGAAGUCAGUGCCUCCCUGAGAGCCGGUGAGAGCUCCAUCUCCCCUGGGCAAGUGGUGCUGAUGCCUGUUCCCUGCAUCCAUCUCUCAGAAGCCACAGCAGAACUGAGCUCCAGGGGCCACUGCGAGAAGCAUUUAUGGAGCUCGUGGAGUGAGGCAUCUCUUUAAUCCCUUCAGUAAGUCAGUGUGGGCCAAGGAGUCUGAGGAUCAGAGACCUUGUGACUUUUUAAGUGAAGAUUUACUGUGUGCUGGGGCCCAUUGUGUUUUAUUUUAUUGACUUGUCCCAAGCUCUAAGAGGGAGAGACCUUGAUUGUCCCAAUUUCACUGACACAGUUUGGGAAGGUUAAAACAUGAUGAAAGGAAAUAGACUGGAAUGAUACAGUAAUAUGGAAUUGAGCAUUUUCACCAACAUUUUUACGUGUUUUAAAAUGUCAUUUUCUGGCCAGGGGUGGUGGCUCAUGCCUGUAACCCCAGCACUUUGGGAAGCUGAGGCUGGUGGAUCACUUGAGGCCAGGAGUUUGUGACCAGCCUGGCCAACAUGGUGAAACCAUGUUUCUACUAAAAAUAUAAAAAAAUAGCUUGGUGUGGCCGUGCACACUUUAAUACCAGGUACUCGGAAGGCCGAGGCAUGAGAAUCGCUUGAAACCGGGAGGCAGAGUUUGCAGUGAGCCAAGAUCGUGCCACUGCACUCCAGCCUGGGAGACAGAGUGAGACUCUGUAUCAAAAAAAAAAAAAAAAAAAAAAAAGUAAAUGAAAAUAAAAUGGUAUUUUCUUUUUCUUUCUUUCUUUUUUUUUUUUUUUUUACAAAAAAAACUUUUAUUAUUAUUUUAGAUUUAAGAGGCACGUGUGCAGGUUUGUUACGUGGAUAUAUUGCAUAAUGGUAAGUUU
ensembl:lincRNA